rnacentral:sRNA from 1 species
UGAUAAUGAUAUAAUAGCUAGGAGCCAAACAAAGCUCUUUUUUCAUUAAAGUAUGCUUGAUA